GAUGAACGCUGGCGGCGUGCCUAAUACAUGCAAGUCGAGCGAACGGACGAGAAGCUUGCUUUUCUGAUGUUAGCGGCGGACGGGUGAGUAACACGUGGAUAACCUACCUAUAAAACUGGGAUAACUUCGGGAAACCGGAGCUAAUACCGGAUAAUAUUUUGAACCGCAUGGUUCAAAAGUGAAAGACGGUCUUGCUGUCACUUAUAGAUGGAUCCGCGCUGCAUUAGCUAGUUGGUAAGGUAACGGCUUACCAAGGCAACGAUGCAUAGCCGACCUGAGAGGGUGAUCGGCCACACUGGAACUGAGACACGGUCCAGACUCCUACGGGAGGCAGCAGUAGGGAAUCUUCCGCAAUGGGCGAAAGCCUGACGGAGCAACGCCGCGUGAGUGAUGGAGGUCUUCGGAUCGUAAAACUCUGUUAUUAGGGAAGAACAUAUGUGUAAGUAACUGUGCACAUCUUGACGGUACCUAAUCAGAAAGCCACGGCUAACUACGUG
rnacentral:rRNA from 1 species